rnacentral:lncRNA from 1 species
CAAAAUGUUUAUUUAGUGGACAUAUGUGGGAUGUUUAAAUAUGUCCAAGAUUACUUUCUUUAGGGAAACACUCUUCUCCAUACCAUGCAGGUCUGACAGACUACAAUGGAGAUAUCCAGCCCUGUGUUGAGUGGGUAAGAUUAUUUCCUUCUGUAGAAUGACUAAUCUCAGGAUAGAAGCAGAGAUCCCAACAGUUCUUCUCUGGAUUGAUACUGGGCAGAAUGGACAGCACCGUGGCAGGCAUAUGAGUCAGCCUGGACUGAGAAUUAGGGUCAGACUUAAAGCAAUAUAA